UACGUAGGGUGCGAGCGUUAAUCGGAAUUACUGGGCGUAAAGGGUGCGCAGGCGGUUCCGCAUGUCGGGCGUGAAAUCCCCGGGCUUAACCUGGGAAUGGCGUCCGAAACUAUGGGACUGGAGUGUGGCAGAGGGAGGUGGAAUUCCACGUGUAGCGGUGAAAUGCGUAGAGAUCCGGAAGAACACCGGUGGCGAAGGCGGCCCGCUGGGCAGGAAGGCUCGCAAGAGCCGGCUGACGCUGAGGCGCGACAGCGUGGGGAGCAAACAGG
rnacentral:rRNA from 1 species